rnacentral:rRNA from 1 species
UACGGGGGGAGCAAGCGUUGUUCGGAUUUACUGGGCGUAAAGGGCGUGUAGGCGGCGUGGUAAGUCACUUGUGAAAUCUCUGAGCUCAACUCAGAACGGCCAAGUGAUACUGCUGUGCUAGAGUGCAGAAGGGGCAAUCGGAAUUCUUGGUGUAGCGGUGAAAUGCGUAGAUAUCAAGAGGAACACCUGAGGUGAAGACGGGUUGCUGGGCUGACACUGACGCUGAGGCGCGAAAGCCAGGGGAGCAAACGGG